UUUAAUUGAAGAGUUUGAUCAUGGCUCAGAUUGAACGCUGGCGGCAGGCCUAACACAUGCAAGUCGAGCGGUAGCA
rnacentral:rRNA from 1 species